CUGGGACUGGCGCUAACCACACGUAAGGCCGCUGUUACGAGACUUUGGAGGAAGAGGAGAUUAGGACACAGACACACACAGAGGGAGGACCAAGCGAGGACACAGGGAGAAGAUGGCCGUCUAUGAGCCAAGGAGAGAGACUUCAGAGGAAGCCAGCCCUGACGACACCUUGAUCUUGGCCUUCCAGCCUCCAGAACUGUAAGAAAAUCCAUUUCUGUUGUUUGCCCAGUCUGUGGUACUUCCUGAUGGCAGCCCCAGCAGACUGCCACACCUGCUCUCCCAGGCCUAGUAUAUAUUAGGCCCCCGGUGGAAGAAGUUAACUCCAUGAUGACCAGACUGUAGCCACGACAUAAGCUGCCACAGUUCCGAGAACUGGCCUCAAGAAAAUGGGAACAAACCGACCCUGGAACUGAAGAUUAAUUAUAUUGAUACUUAAAACAAUCAAGA